GUGAUAAUUUUUAUAUCAUGUCACUUGUAUUUGACUGUUAAAUACAUUUAAAUACUUUCUAUAUAGUCCAAUUGAUACUGAUUAAUUGAAAUGCCUAAAUUCUUCAUAGAAUGGUGAUGUACCCAGUGCAAUCCCUGAAAAGUAGGACUUAAUCAUAGAAACCAAAAAAGCCUAUUCCUCAUAAUAUCAGUUCAUCUUGCAUUAUCAUUGUGCAACUGUCUCUGGGCUAAAUUGACCUUCAAAAUCUCAUAGUGGUGCUAUGAUGAAAUCUAAGGGUCCCCCAAUACCCAUACUGUGAAUUUCAAAACUACUCCACCCUAUUCAGACCAUUCUUUAGAAGAUGGGAUUUAGCUAUUUCCUGAUCAAUAACAAUUGAGAUACUUGUAAUAACAGAAUCAGGUCUUGGAAACUACAAUCUCCACCCUACUCAAUGUAACAAGAUCAGCAAGGGCUACAGCAAAACUCAAGAUUUAAUUAUUUGAGAAUAUGGCCUUCAACAGACAUGUGCAAAAAGGACAGACCUCUGGGCAGUCCUGGGUGAAGCUAGAGCCACCAUUGGCACAUGUCAGACCCAGGAAGUGAGGUAGAGGUCAGCUCAGGAGUUCUGGGGACUUCCUGUGUGGAAGGAAAAAGGUUGUUGGAGCCUGGUGCUUGAGGUGGAGGAGCCCACAGACUGUUUCUCCAUCUUGGUCACUUGACAUAAUGGAGGUUCCACUGAGAUCUGAAGUCCCGGCUGCCUGAGCCCUCCUGCUAACCAGGACCCCGAGACUUGAGCUUGACAAUUCCUUGAGAGUUGAAGAAAAUGUUGAGAGUUGAAGAAACUUGGGAAUGGAAAAGUCUGAGGAAAUUUAGAAGUAACCAAGAGACAAAAGAAUCUUCAUGCAAUCUUCUUAGUAAAUAUAAUAAGACAUGGAAUAUAAGGAGACCCAGUAGGUGAGGAACCUAGAAGGUAGAGGCUGGAUAUUUUGCCCAAACUCAUACAGCAGAAAUGGCAUAUGAACUCCCAUGUUUCUAUUACCAAGUAUUUCACCUCAUCAACUACUAUUAUGCCAUUUUACAUCACUUCCUUCCCAGAUUUAUGAUAGAACUAAACCAUUAUCAUACAAAUGAAUAAAAGCUAUCAGAGCCAAGGAAUUCCUGUAACA
rnacentral:lncRNA from 1 species